rnacentral:rRNA from 1 species
GAUGAACGCUAGCGGGAGGCUUAAUACAUGCAAGUCGAGCGGCAAGGUCUUCGGACCCUAGAGCGGCGCACGGGUGAGUAACGCGUACGCAAUCUGCCCUUCAGUGAGGAAUAGCCCUGGGAAACUGGGAUUAAUACCUCAUAAUAUUGUUUGUUCGCAUGGAUAGACAAUUAAAGUUCUGGCGCUGAAGGAUGAGCGUGCGUCUGAUUAGCUAGUUGGUAGGGUAACGGCCUACCAAGGCGACGAUCAGUAGGGGGCGUGAGAGCGUGACCCCCCACACGGGUACUGAGACACGGACCCGACUCCUACGGGAGGCAGCAGUAAGGAAUAUUGGGCAAUGGAGGCAACUCUGACCCAGCCAUCCCGCGUGAAGGAUUAAGGCCCUAUGGGUUGUAAACUUCUUUUGUUUGGGAAGAAAUCAGGACAUUUAUGUGCUGUUGACGGUACCUUACGAAUAAGCACCGGCUAACUCCGUG